GGCUGGGUGGCGCAAUGGUAGCGCGUUGGUUUUCGGUUCUUCCUGAUUCAGGAAGGGUUUGAUACCUACCAAAGGCUGCGGGUUCGAGCCCCGUCUCAGUCA